rnacentral:rRNA from 1 species
CUGGCGGCGUGCUUAACACAUGCAAGUCGAGCGAUGAAGCACCUUCGGGUGUGAAUUAGCGGCGAACGGGUNAGGACACGUGAAGAAUCUGCCUUCAACUCUGGGGAUAACUCCGGGAAACCGGGCUAAUACCGCAUAUGGUCUUCGGAUUUAAAGGAUUUAUCCGCUUUGGGAGUGGCCCGCGUACGAUUAGAUUGUUGGUGAGGUAACGGCUCACCAAGUCGACGAUCGUUAACUGGUCUGAGAGGAUGAUCAGUCAGACUGGAACUGAGACACGGUCCAGACUCCUACGGGAGGCAGCAGUAAGGAAUCUUCCACAAUGGGCGAAAGCCUGAUGGAGCAACGCCGCGUGCAGGAUGAAGGCCCUCGGGUCGUAAACUGCUUUUAUGAGUGAAGAAUAUGACGGUAACUCAUGAAUAAGCACCGGCUAACUACGUG